GAUGAACGCUGGCGGCGUGCCUAAUACAUGCAAGUCGAGCGAAUGGAUUAAGAGCUUGCUCUUAUGAAGUUAGCGGCGGACGGGUGAGUAACACGUGGGUAACCUGCCCAUAAGACUGGGAUAACUCCGGGAAACCGGGGCUAAUACCGGAUAACAUUUUGAACCGCAUGGUUCGAAAUUGAAAGGCGGCUUCGGCUGUCACUUAUGGAUGGACCCGCGUCGCAUUAGCUAGUUGGUGAGGUAACGGCUCACCAAGGCAACGAGGCGUAGCCGACCUGAGAGGGUGAUCGGCCACACGGGGACUGAGACACGGCCCAGACUCCUACGGGAGGCAGCAGUAGGGAAUCUUCCGCAAUGGACGAAAGUCUGACGGAGCAACGCCGCGUGAGUGAUGAAGGCUUUCGGGUCGUAAAACUCUGUUGUUAGGGAAGAACAAGUGCUAGUUGAAUAAGCUGACACCUUGACGGUACCUAACCAGAAAGCCACGGCUAACUACGUGCCAGCCGCCGCGGUAA
rnacentral:rRNA from 1 species